UGAGGAAUAUUGCACAAUGGGCGCAAGCCUGAUGCAGCGACGCCGCGUGUGGGAUGAAGGGGCUACGCCUCGUAAACCACUGUAGCCCGGGACGAAAAACGCCUUAGAGGCGUUAGACGGUACCGGGAAAGUAAGGGUCGGCUAACUACGUGCCAGCAGCCGCGGUAAUACGUAGGACCCAAGCGUUGUCCGGAUUUACUGGGUGUAAAGGGUGCGCAGGCGGAGGGGUAAGGCAGGGUUGAAAGUCUGCAGCUUAACUGUAGAAUUGUCUUUGAUACUGCUCAUCUUGAGUGUGGGAGAGGUGGAUGGAAUUCCAGGUGGAGCAGUGAAAUGCGUAGAUAUCUGGAAGAACACCAGUGGCGAAGGCGGUCAACUGGCCCAUAACUGACGCUCAUGCACGAAAGCGUGGGGAGCAAACA
rnacentral:rRNA from 1 species